rnacentral:lncRNA from 1 species
UUUUCUUUGUUCGCAUUUUCAUCCACGCGAGUUCGUUCUUGCUGUUCUUGGCUUUUUCCCUCCACUAGAGUUUCUAGUUCUCUUUCUUCAUGCUCUUGCUGCACAAUAACGAGAGCUAAAGGCUCAGUCUUUUUCUUCUUUUGUUCUCGCUCCUUCCUUAGUUCGUGUUUCCUCUUUCUCUGCAGAAAAAACAGAGUAAAACUGUUUUAAAAUAAAAUAAAAUUACCAGCUCCUGCUCAUGUUGAGCAGCACGUAAUUGUCUAUCCUGCUUCUUGUUGUCAUUCGCCAGCAUCAAUUCCGUGUAGUGUUUUUUCCACGUUUUAAUACCUUGCAGGAUUUUUAUUUUUCGGCUCUCUUCGUCCUUGAUGUGGCUAUACUUCAUGUUCAGAAGCUUGAGCUUCUGGUUCUCCAGUCUGUGUGGCAGCACUUCAUUCUGCACCUGAUUUUCUAAAUCCUG